rnacentral:rRNA from 1 species
CAAGUCGAGCGGCAGCGCGGGGCAACCUGGCGGCGAGCGGCGAACGGGUGAGUAAUGCAUCGGAACGUGUCCAUGUCGUGGGGGAUAGCCCGGCGAAAGCCGGAUUAAUACCGCAUACGCCCGAGAGGGGAAAGUGGGGGACCGCAAGGCCUCACGCGAUUGGAUCGGCCGAUGUCCGAUUAGCUAGUUGGCGGGGUAAAGGCCCACCAAGGCGAUGAUCGGUAGCUGGUCUGAGAGGAUGAUCAGCCACACUGGGACUGAGACACGGCCCAGACUCCUACGGGAGGCAGCAGUGGGGAAUUUUGGACAAUGGGGGCAACCCUGAUCCAGCCAUUCCGCGUGAGUGAAGAAGGCCUUCGGGUUGUAAAGCUCUUUUGUCCGGAACGAAACGGGUAGCGUGAAUAUCGCUGCCUACUGACGGUACCGGAAGAAUAAGCACCGGCUAACUACGUGCCAGCAGCCGCGGUAAUACGUAGGGUGCGAGCGUUAAUCGGAAUUACUGGGCGUAAAGCGUGCGCAGGCGGUUUUGUAAGCCGGAUGUGAAAUCCCCGGGCUUAACCUGGGAAUGGCAUUCGGGACUGCAAGGCUGGAGUGCGGCAGAGGAGACUGGAAUUCCUGGUGUAGCANUGAAAUGCGUAGAUAUCAGGAGGAACACCGAUGGCGAAGGCAGGUCUCUGGGCUGACACUGACGCUCAUGCACGAAAGCGUGGGGAGCAAACAGGAUUAGAUACCCUGGUAGUCCACGCCCUAAACGAUGUCGACUGGUUGUUGGGGGUUUGACACUCUCAGUAACGAAGCUAACGCGUGAAGUCGACCGCCUGGGGAGUACGGCCGCAAGGUUAAAACUCAAAGGAAUUGACGGGGACCCGCACAAGCGGUGGAUUAUGUGGAUUAAUUCGAUGCAACGCGAAAAACCUUACCUACCCUUGACAUGUCCUGAAGCCUGGU